CCCUUAGAUGUUCUGGGCCGCACGCGCGCUACACUGUUCGACGCAGCGAGUCUUAACCUUGACCGAAAGGUUUGGGUAAUCUUCAGCAAAGUCGAACGUGAUGGGGAUCGAUCAUUGCAAUUAUUGAUCGUGAACGAGGAAUUCCUAGUAAGUGCAAGUCGUCAGCUUGCGCUGAUUACGUCCCUGCCCUUUGUACACACCGCCCGUCGCUACUACCGAUUGAAUGGUUUAGUGAGAUCUCUGGAUUGACGCUGGCUAGGGGGCGACCCUUGGCCAGGCUGUCGAGAAACUGCUCAAACUUGAUCAUUUAGAGGAAGUAAAAGUCGUAACA
rnacentral:rRNA from 1 species